rnacentral:lncRNA from 1 species
GGGAAUUGGUUUCAGAAUUUAAGCAGGUCUCCACAUCCAUCCCUCCAUAAAUAACAAACCGAACCCACCCCUCUCUAAAAUCUCUCUCAGGGAUUCUUCCAUUCUGCAUUGUUUCCCCACUUGAUCUACCUUCUCUUGUUAACCAUUCCUGCAUCGUCUAGAAUGGUGGUGCUAUAUCCUCCAGUGAGUAUUUUGGGGGACGGACACGUUCAAAACUCUGCAAAAACAAACCUACCAUCCCGACGUUCGAUUCCUCAAAAUCAUGGAAGAUGAACCAAAUCCCUACCCAUGCUAAUGACGAGAUUACUAGGCAGAAAAGUAGAUUGCUUCCAUCCAGUUGGGACUUCGGAACUUUUUCAUUCAAAAAGCAUCCAUUCAUAAAUCAAAAAAGUACUCUAAAAUAUCCAUUACCUAUUUUCAAUAAAUUGACAAGCUAAUUUGAAACUUCUCAAAUCAUAAACAAAAUCAGCAUGCUUUUUCCUGACUAUAUUCCAAUCAAUUCUUGCACUAAUGGUUUGAGAAAAAUUGUCGACAUAAGGUUGACAAAGGCCUUUUUGUAUAUAAGAUCUUCUUAUCUCAUUCCGGUCACCUUUUUGUAAUAAGAUCUUUCUCCUCUCAUUCCGGUCACUAGGUAUGAUAAGAUGACUUUUUUUCCACAACCCUAGAUCUGAAUGAAAUUGACUGUCAACAGAACGAACCGUGCUUAACAGAUUUUACUUGUACUAUCACCCCCAAGUUUCUUGGUAGAGAUAAUCUUGCACUAUAGUUAAUAUUCUUCUUUUUCAAGAUUUUUUUCCAUAAUGGUAGAUUAAUAAAAAAUUAAAAAGAACAUAAUCAACUUCAAUGCAUGUUUAUUUGUUAUAGUGAAAAUGAAACGACCCGACCCUCCCGGGCCGUUAAUUAAUUACCUAAAUUCUCCGUAUUUUUUUUCUCAAAUACAAAGCAAAGCACGAUUUUCCUUUCUUCAAAUAUUCAUGUCUCCAAAUGUUUAUUUCUUACAAUGUCUCCAAUAUAAUAAUACAAAAAGAUCAAAAAUCUUUAAGUCUUUUCACUCGACAACCCAUCUCGUACUAUCAUCCCCGAACUCACCACGUCCUCCUAAAAAGUCAUUUAAACAGGUAAGUCUACAUAACGGACGAAAAUAUUGCUCAACGAAAUCAAUAAUGGCUCACAACAAAUGUCAGAUAGCACAACGAAUCAAUAAUUUCCUCAAAGACCUCAUACCAGGUCUUUCCUGAUACUUACUAGUGACCGGCCUUCUCCACGUCUCCUACUCUCGGCUUUUCCUUCACGGUCCUUAGUGAUCUAUUGCGGAUCCACUCAUACAUGUACCAUUCCAUUCCAUAGCAUUUAGCCAUCCAAACAAUAACAUCAUACAUUCACGAUGCCAACAAAAAUACAUGGAUUUCAACAGAUAGCACACAUGCUCAAAUGAAUACAAAAUCAGAUAUUUUAGAAAAACAUCCGGAGUUUAGAAGCAUCUUGUAGUUACCCUACCUCCUGUUUACCUCAAAUGGAAAUUAACACUAUUGAUAUUAAGAUCUGGCUCCCAUGAUCAUCAUACUAAAAUUUCACAUUGAUUUGACAUCAUCUCACCGUUGAUCUAAACUCAUAUUUUUCCAUGAAUCAAAGCUAACCACACCACAACACAAAUAAUUUCUCCAGUCUCUAUUUCUUUCUUUCUUCUCACCUCCUCUGUUAGUCUUGUACCUCCUCUCUCAGAGACUCUCUUCACUAUUCCUUCACAUCUAACUUAAAAAUAACAAUAUAUAAUUAAUAUAUAAAACACCAUCAUACCUCUUAAUCUUUUUUCCUUUUUUCUUCUUUCUAUUUCCUAUUCCUUUCUAUUUUCUCUUUCUUUGUUUAUUUUUUUAUUUUUUUCUUUUCUUACAACUUUAGCGGAAAGUUGCGUUCCCCACACGAAUCCUAUAAAUUACAAGUAUUUUUUUCUCACUUAUUCUUUUUUUUUAAUUUUAUUAUCCCAAAAUUUAUACAUCCUUUCAAUUAAAACCCAAAACAUAAAUCGGGUUAUUACAGAAACCAAUCCUCAACAUCAAAUCAUAAUCAAAAAAUCAUAAUUUACACACAUCAAGCAAAAACCCGAGUCCAUUUGGCAGUUUAAAGAAAAGCCAUGGCCAAUAUCAUGAACUUUCAAUAUCUUAUAAGAUUAACUAAUGCAGAUAAAAGGGCUUAUGCAAAUCAAGCUCACCUUCAAAUCCAAAUUAACAAAAAAGGGAAAAGGCUACCCAAAAAUUAAAAUUUUUCAUACAACGCAAUUACAGACAUAUAUUGAUGCCAAAGCUAUAUAUUAUGUCAGCAAAGAAGAGAAGAAGAUGAUACCUAAGAAGAAAUUCUUGUUGGAAAUUGUUAUUUGUUGCGCCGUGUAUUCAAUGUUUAAGCAACUAUGGAGUCACAGACGAAUUAGGGAUUGAACUUAAGUCUUUUUUUAAAUAUGUAGUCAAUGAAUACAAUAGGAAGGGUUGCAUAAAAAAUAAUAAAA